rnacentral:rRNA from 1 species
AGCGAACGCUGGCGGCAGGCCUAACACAUGCAAGUCGAACGAACUCUUCGGAGUUAGUGGCGGAAGGGUGAGUAACACGUGGGAACGUGCCUUUAGGUUCGGAAUAACUCAGGGAAACUUGUGCUAAUACCGCAUGUGCCCUCCGGGGGAAAGAUUUAUCGCCUUUAGAGCGGCCCGCGUCUGAUUAGCUAGUUGGUGAUGUAAAGGCUCACCAAGGCGACGAUCAGUAGCUGGUCUGAGAGGAUGAUCAGCCACAUUGGGACUGAGACACGGCCCAAACUCCUACGGGAGGCAGCAGUGGGGAAUCUUGCGCAAUGGGCGAAAGCCUGACGCAGCCAUGCCGCGUGAAUGAUGAAGGUCUUAGGAUUGUAAAAUUCUCUCAACGGGGACGAUAAUGACGGUACCCGGAGAAGAAGCCCCGGCUAACUUCGUG